rnacentral:rRNA from 1 species
AUUGAACGCUGGCGGCAUGCUUUACACAUGCAAGUCGAACGGCAGCGCGGGCUUCGGCCUGGCGGCGAGUGGCGAACGGGUGAGUAAUGCAUCGGAACGUGCCCAGUAGUGGGGGAUAGCCCGGCGAAAGCCGGAUUAAUACCGCAUACGACCUGAGGGUGAAAGCGGGGGACCGAAAGGCCUCGCGCUAUUGGAGCGGCCGAUGUCGGAUUAGCUAGUUGGUGGGGUAAAGGCUUACCAAGGCGACGAUCCGUAGCUGGUCUGAGAGGACGACCAGCCACACUGGGACUGAGACACGGCCCAGAGUCCUACGGGAGGCAGCAGUGGGGAAUUUUGGACAAUGGGGGCAACCCUGAUCCAGCCAUGCCGCGUGCGGGAAGAAGGCCUUCGGGUUGUAAACCGCUUUUGUUCGGGAAGAAAUCCUCUGGGCUAAUACCCCGGGGGGAUGACGGUACCGGAAGAAUAAGCACCGGCUAACUACGUG